UGAAAUGCAAUGAUAGGGAAGAGUACUUCGUGAACCCUUCAGAGAGAGAGGUCAAUUUGCUGGGAGAUCUCUUAGGAUGUAGCGCGGGAAGGUAGCCCUUGAGCAGCUUUUCUGAACAAAACGUAAACUAACGUGGGAAGUAUGUGUGGAGCUUCUUAAUUUGCUAAACUAUUCUGCAAAAAUUUACUUGCCCAAUCAAAACGUAAGUAGGAAAAGCCGGCCACAGUCCGUUAUCUGUUUGAGCGCAUUGAUAUUUUUUUGCAUGGGUAUGCGGGUAUGUAUCGCAUAAUCAAAUAGCCAUAACAAAAAUAUCAAUGAAAAAAGGUGGUACCGCGAAGAAUAGCUUCUUUCGUCCUUUUA
rfam:Bacillus azotoformans LMG 9581 contig111, whole genome shotgun sequence.